rnacentral:rRNA from 1 species
GAUGAACGCUGGCGGCGUGCUUAACACAUGCAAGUCGAACGAUGAAGCCCAGCUUGCUGGGUGGAUUAGUGGCGAACGGGUGAGUAACACGUGAGUAACCUGCCCUUGACUCUGGGAUAAGCGCUGGAAACGGCGUCUAAUACCGGAUACGAGCUUCCACCGCAUGGUGAGUUGCUGGAAAGAAUUUCGGUCAAGGAUGGACUCGCGGCCUAUCAGGUAGUUGGUGGGGUAACGGCUCACCAAGCCCACGCCGGGUAGCCGGCCUGAGAGGGGGGCCGGCCACACUGGGACUGAGGGACGGCCCAGACUCCUACGGGGGGCAGCGGUGGGGAAUAUUACACAAUGGGCGCAAGCCUGAUGCAGCAGCGCCGCGUGAGGGAAGAAGGCCUUCGGGUCGUAAACCUCUUUUAGCAGGGAAGAAGCGAAAGUGACGGUACCUGCAGAAAAAGCACCGGCUAACUACGUG